UACAGAGGUGGCAAGCGUUGUUCGGAAUUACUGGGCGUAAAGGGCGCGUAGGCGGCCUUCUAAGUCGAACGUGAAAUCCCCGGGCUCAACCCGGGAACUGCGUCCGAUACUGGAAGGCUUGAAUCCGGGAGAGGGAUGUGGAAUUCCAGGUGUAGCGGUGAAAUGCGUAGAGAUCGGGAGGAACACCCGUGGCGAAGGCGGCCACCUGGGCCGACCCUGACGCUGAGGCGCGAAGGCGUGGGGAGCGAACGGG
rnacentral:rRNA from 1 species